rnacentral:rRNA from 1 species
UUGUAAUUUGUAGAGGAUGCUUUUGGUGAGGUGCCGCCCGAGUUCCCUGGAACGGGACGCCACAGAGGGUGAGAGCCCCGUCUGGCUGGCCGCCGAGCCUCUGUAAAGCUCCUUCGACGAGUCGAGUAGUUUGGGAAUGCUGCUCAAAAUGGGAGGUAUAUGUCUUCUAAAGCUAAAUAUUGGCCAGAGACCGAUAGCGCACAAGUAGAGUGAUCGAAAGAUGAAAAGCACCUUGAAAAGAGGGUUAAAUAGUACGUGAAAUUGUUGAAAGGGAAGCGCUUGUGACCAGACUUGGGCGCGGCGGAUCAUCCGGGGUUCUCUCCGGUGCACUUCGCCGCGUCUAGGCCAGCAUCAGUUCGUCGCGGGGGAAAAAGGCUUCGGGAACGUGGCUCCUCCGGGAGUGUUAUAGCCCGUUGCAUAAUACCCUGCGGUGGACUGAGGACCGCGCAUCUGCAAGGAUGCUGGCGUAAUGGUCACCAGCGACCCGUCUUGAA